UACAGAGGUCUCAAGCGUUUGUUCGGAUUCAUUGGGCGUAAAGGGUGCGUAGGCGGCGCGGUAAGUCGGGUGUGGAAUCUCGGGGCUUAACUCCGAAACUGCAUUCGAUACUGCCGUGCUUGAGGACUGGAGAGGAGACUGGAAUUCAUGGUGUAGCAGUGAAAUGCGUAGAGAUCAUGAGGAAGACCAGUGGCGAAGGCGGGUCUCUGGACAGUUCCUGACGCUGAGGCACGAAGGCCAGGGGGAGCAAAACGGGG
rnacentral:rRNA from 1 species